GCAAGUCAAGGAGAAUCUAUUCUUCGGAAUAGUAGUAAACUGGCGAACGGGUGAGUAACACGUAGGUAACCUGCCCUAGAGAUUGGGACAACUUCGGGAAACCGAAGCUAAUACCGAAUGAUGCCAUAAAUCCUUAGUGAUACUAUUGUUAAAGCGGGCUUCUGCUCGUACUUUAGGAUGGGCCUGCGUCCGAUUAGCUUGUUGGUGGGGUAAUGGCCUACCAAGACAAUGAUAGGUAGCUGGUCUGAGAGGAUGAUC
rnacentral:rRNA from 1 species